rnacentral:rRNA from 1 species
CGUUGAUAGGUCGGGUGUGUAAGCGCAGUAAUGCGUUCAGCUAACCGAUACUAAUUGCCCGUAAGGUUGAUCCUAUAACA